AUGCUUAAAGGAUUGAAUGGGAAAGACGAGUUUCCGACCGGUCGUAGUACGCAGUUGACUGAGGAGCAAAAGGAGGAAACCACCCAAGGAGGGGCUCGCGUCUGAUUAGCUAGUUGGUGAGGCAAUAGCUUACUAAGGCGAUGAUCAGUAGCUGGUCCGAGAGGAUGAUCAGUCACACUGGGAUUGAGACACGGCCUAGACUCCUACGGGAGGCAGCA
rnacentral:ncRNA from 1 species